GAGCCAAGUUUCUGCCCUUUGGCAGAAACCAGGUUCGGCAGCCGAAGGAACUUUCAGCCGCCGAACAUGGCUGGGGAGGCAGGCCUUUCGGCUGCCGAAGUUGCCCCCGAAAAGAGACUUUUGUCUCUGUCUGGGACUUUCGGCCGCCGAAGGUGCCGCCGAACCUGCCUGGGUUUCGGCUCUGGAGGGACUUUCGGCCGCCGAAG
rnacentral:lncRNA from 1 species